ACCCGCUGAACUUAAGCAUAUCAAUAAGCGGAGGAAAAGAAACCAACAGGGAUUGCCCUAGUAACGGCGAGUGAAGCGGCAAUAGCUCAAAUUUGAAAUCUGGCCCACUUGCGGGGUCCGAGUUGUAAUUUGCAGAGGGUGCUUUGGCGUUGGCGGCGGUCCAAGUUCCUUGGAACCGGACGUCGUAGAGGGUGAGAAUCCCGUACGUGGCUGCCUGCCAUCGCCAUGUAAAGCCCCUUCGACGAGUCGAGUUGUUUGGGAAUGCAGCUCUAAACGGGAGGUAAAUUUCUUCUAAAGCUAAAUACUGGCCAGAGACCGAUAGCGCACAAGUAGAGUGAUCGAAAGAUGAAAAGCACUUUGGAAAGAGAGUCAAAUAGCACGUGAAAUUGUUGAAAGGGAAGCGCUUGCCGCCAGACUUGCCCGUGGUUGUCCUCUUCCGCGGGCAGGCCAGCAUCAGCUUAGGCGAUCGGAUAAUGGCCUCUGUCAUGUAUCUUCCUUCGGGUUGACCUUAUAGGGGAGUCGUAAUGCGAUCAGCCUGGGCUGAGGUCCGCGCAUCUGCUAGGAUGCUGGCGUAAUGGCUGUAAGCGGCCCGUCUUGAAACACGG
rnacentral:rRNA from 1 species